GUCUACAGCCAUCCAACCCUCGAGGCACCUGAUCUGGUCUGAUCUCAGCAGCUAAGCAGGAUCAGGCCUGGUUAGCACUUGAAUGGGAGAAAUUAUAGAGGCUUGGGAAUCUCUGUAAAUC
rnacentral:rRNA from 1 species